UACAGAGGUCCCAAGCGUUGUUCGGAUUCACUGGGCGUAAAGGGUGCGUAGGUGGUGAGGUAAGUCGGAUGUGAAAGCUCGGAGCUCAACUCCGAAAUGGCAUUGGAAACUACCUUGCUCGAGGGUUGGAGGGGGACUGGAAUACUUGGUGUAGCAGUGAAUGCGUAGAUAAUCAAGUGGAACACCAGUGGCGAAGGCGGCUCGCUGGACAGGCACUGACACUCAACUGCGAAAGCGUUGGGGAGCAAACAGGA
rnacentral:rRNA from 1 species